rnacentral:tRNA from 1 species
GGGGUUGUGGCUCAGCAGUAGAGCACUCACUUAGCAAGUGUGAGAUCCUGGGUUCGAUCCCCAGCACCA